GGGCGUGUAGCUCAGUUGGUAGAGCGUGUCAUUAGCAUCUGCGAGCAUUUGUCAGAAUAUCUUGACAAGGUCUUUGGUUCGAUUCCUAACUCGUCCA
rfam:Trichosporon oleaginosus strain IBC0246 unplaced genomic scaffold CC85scaffold_10, whole genome shotgun sequence.